CCAAAAAAGUGGCAAAAAGCUGCUGAUCCCCCACUGAGGACUUUACAGCCAGGUGGGUGAAAGUAAUUGAGCCUGAUUAAGCAAAGCUGUUUUCAAUUUGCGUUCAUUAAAACCUCCUUUUCAGUACUAACACAGAGCCUCUGAUUUUCUUGGAAGCAGUGUAAAAGGCUGUGCUAGUAGCUUUAUUUAUUUAUUUAUUUAUUCAUUUAUUUUCAUAUCGGAUGCCUGUUUUCAACUGAACACGCCAAAAUGAGGGCACCUGUUCAAGCAGCUCACUGGAUUCCUGCAAAAAAAACGAGGAGAGUUCGGGAUCAUUCCAAAUUCAUCUACAAAACUCAUAAAGAGGUUCACUGUGCAAAGAUGGAAAUUCCAGAUUUCCUGUCCAGUCGGCAUCUCUGUUUCCCCAGACCUCUCCUACUCAGACUGGUGAGCUCUGAAGCAUCUCGGCUGUCAAAGCACAACAGACUGAGACUCAUCACUCUGCAGGAGGUUGAUGCUGCUAUCGCACUCUUAAAAAAGACGACUCGUGCAAGAGCUGCUGCAUGAAGUAUUGGACUCUAUAAACUUUUUUUACUGUGGUGUUAAUAAAAGUAAAUUUUUAAACUGUA